GAUGAACGCUGGCGGCGUGCCUAAUACAUGCAAGUCGAGCGAACAGACGAGGAGCUUGCUCCUCUGACGUUAGCGGCGGACGGGUGAGUAACACGUGGAUAACCUACCUAUAAGACUGGGAUAACUUCGGGAAACCGGAGCUAAUACCGGAUAACAUGUUGAACCGCAUGGUUCAACAGUGAAAGACGGUCUUGCUGUCACUUAUAGAUGGAUCCGCGCCGCAUUAGCUAGUUGGUAAGGUAACGGCUUACCAAGGCAACGAUGCGUAGCCGACCUGAGAGGGUGAUCGGCCACACUGGAACUGAGACACGGUCCAGACUCCUACGGGAGGCAGCAGUAGGGAAUCUUCCGCAAUGGGCGAAAGCCUGACGGAGCAACGCCGCGUGAGUGAAGAAGGUCUUCGGAUCGUAAGACUCUGUUAUUAGGGAAGAACAAAUGUGUAAGUAACUAUGCACGUCUUGACGGUACCUAAUCAGAAAGCCACGGCUAACUACGUG
rnacentral:rRNA from 1 species